rnacentral:rRNA from 1 species
GACGAACGCUGGCGGCGUGCCUAAUACAUGCAAGUAGAACGCUGAAGGAGGAGCUUGCUUCUCCGGAUGAGUUGCGAACGGGUGAGUAACGCGUAGGUAACCUGCCUGUUAGCGGGGGAUAACUAUUGGAAACGAUAGCUAAUACCGCAUAAGAGUAGAUGUCGCAUGACAUUUGCUUAAAAGGUGCAACUGCACCACUACCAGAUGGACCUGCGUUGUAUUAGCUAGUUGGUGAGGUAACGGCUCACCAAGGCAACGAUACAUAGCCGACCUGAGAGGGUGAUCGGCCACACUGGGACUGAGACACGGCCCAGACUCCUACGGGAGGCAGCAGUAGGGAAUCUUCGGCAAUGGACGGAAGUCUGACCGAGCAACGCCGCGUGAGUGAAGAAGGUUUUCGGAUCGUAAAGCUCUGUUGUAAGAGAAGAACGAGUGUGAGAGUGGAAAGUUCACACUGUGACGGUAUCUUACCAGAAAGGGACGGCUAACUACGUG